rnacentral:misc_RNA from 1 species
UAUCCUUCGGACACAACCCAGGUAGCAUGGUAGCAUUGGCCCAAUGCUGGUAUUAGUGCCGCGAGUUACGCUUGUGCCGGCAACGGGCUUACAGCAUUGGCACAGCAGUGGGCCACAGCGGGCGAGCCACUGUCUCUCAGCGGCCAGCUGGUACCAGUAGAUUCCCAGCAGAGUAGCAGCAUUGACCCAUGUGUUCUAAAUUUAAACACUUUAUCAGUUCAUCUGCCCGAAGCUACUUUUAGUCAUGAAACUUGAAGAUUAACUUACAAAUAUAUCUCAAAAGCCCUUGUCCAGUUUCAUACAAUCAGUGCACAUUUAUUUAGGCUAUUAUAAUCUAAUUAUAAUUUAUAAGAAACUACAAACAAUGGAAACUUUUGAAACAUAUACAUUUGCUGCAGACUAUCAACUGAGGAAUUUCUCCUUUGAGCGGUAUCUUUCACCAUUGUUCAGUCUUGCUCUUGUCCGAGGUUUUACAGAUUUCAAGUCCAUUUUCCACGUGAUAUUCUAGGAUCUUUUAAAGAAAGGAAAUGUACCACAUAGUCAAGUUCCAAAAGACUAAUGAAGUGGGGAUUGUGCCACACACUUGGCUCCACGGAAGAGAGUACUGCUUUUGGCCCAAGUUCAAAAACAGUAACCAACUGGACAAGGGAGUGAAGACCUGCUGCCUCCCAGACAAGGAUACAUGGAAACUGUAUACCAUCACAGUCAUGUACAGUAGUGAAUCGUAUGACAAGGUGAGGAGAAAACUACCCCUGGCAACUGAUAUGUCUAACCUCGACACGGAGGCAGAGGAUGAUAGAGAGUCAAGGAAAAGAAGACCAACUGGCAGGUACUUGAGUUCUAGCUCCAGCUCAAGUGAUGAGGAGACACAAGUGGCAAAGAGCAAGGAGUCACGAGUGUCAAAGUCCUCUGUGCCCAUGCCACCUUCUCCACCUCGCCUUAGAGUUUCUCCCCAGCCGCCUUCUCCUCCUCGCCUUCCAGUCUCUCUACCUGUGGCAAUGUCUCCACCCCUACCUACACUGUCGGUCCCGACCAGCCCACGGCGAUCCCCCAGGCGACGGAUCUUACCCGAACCAUCUCCAUUGCUGUCCCGACAGGAUGUAUGGAGGCCCAGUCACUCACCAAGUUCAACAGUGGGGGGCAACUAGAGGGGAAGUUGUUGAACUUGUAAAGAUCGUGGAAUCAAAUCGAGCAGUGGCUCUUGAAAAUCAGAAGCUGCUUCACCAGGUCCUGAGAAUUCUACAGUCUGGCUCCUCGGACUUGACACCAGCUGAGGAGUUGCAUCUCCCCCCUCAAAACCAUCGAGGAACUGAGGGAAACUAAUACUUCUCUGGAGGAUUCCUCCAGAUUGAGAUCAGCGGUUGGGCAACUCGGAGUGGCAGGAGGCGUGUCAACAGGAGACACAAUACGCAGAGUUUUGUCAAUGCUAAUGACAAACUCGGUCGCCAAGCAGGUGAAUUGGGAAGG